GGCUGGGAAGUCCAAGAGCAUGGCUCUGGCAUCUGCUAAGGAUCAUCCCGUGAUGGAAGGGCAGAAGGAAAAUGAGCUCUGGAGACAGAGAGAGGAAAUCAGGUGAAACUCAUCUUUUUAAUGGGAGUCCACAUCGAUGUAACUAACCCACUCCUCUGAUAAAUAAUUACUCUAUUCAUGAGAACAGGGCCCUCAUGACCUAAUCACCUCCUAAAGGUUCCACCUACUGAUACCAUCACAAUGGCAGUUAAAUUUCAAUAUGAAGUUUGGAGGAGACAUUUAAGCCAUAGCAGUGACAUAGUUUGACCCAUAGCCCCCCUCUGUGAAGCCAGCAGCAAAGCCAGGACAAGCCAAGACAGGAAGGAGCUCAUGAUAUAGAGGAAAAUGGCCUGACUCAUGAACAAAUACAGCAGAGGAAGGGGACCCCUACCAGGCAAGGAGGUCAACUCUAUUGAGCUCAGCUGAGAAAACCACACUACAAGCAAAGAUUGGGGGCUGACUGCAACUCAACGAGGAUUUAUUGAGCACCUACAGUGUGCUAAGCACUGGGGUUACACAGGGGCAGCCUUCCUGAGGAACAUUCUCAGGAUGAGAAGCAACAGCAGAACGUCAGAAGGGAAGGCGUUCCCAGCAGAUGGAACUGCGAGAGCAAAGACCACAGGUGGGCACAGGCUUGGACCAUUUGAGGAACAGAAAGGAGACCAGAGGGCAGAGGGACUGUGAGGGGUAAAUGGUCAAGAUGGAAGAUUCGAGAGGAGUCAAGCUGGACCUGAUGAGAAGUCCGACAGUCUCGGGCUGCUGCUGUUUCCUCAAUAAGACACAUUUCCCCAGCAGACAUGCCUUGUAAACGCAUCAGUUCCUCCUGUUUUUUAAGAUCAUUCUGGCCACCUCUGAACAUCCUCCAGGUGGCCCUAAGCCUGCCAGCCCCACCUGCACCAGUGGCAAGCACUCCUGAGGUGGUCCUUUCCAGCUGCAGAAAGAAAACCCACCACGCCCGUCUCUGAACGUGACUUUGAUUCUACAGUCAACCCCCCUUGGACCUUAGCUCCACCUUACCCUAUAGUCUCCAUGUAGGCUGCUGUCUGAUACCCUCCUGGUCCCCUUUGGUAAUACUCGUUCUAGAUUCCAUCCUCCUACUGACUAUUGGUGUCCGGAAUGACUUUCUAGAAUUUUUCUUUUUUCUUCUCCAGGAACAACUCAACGGGGAGGAAGAAGCAGGUGUAAGCUAAGCAAUUGUGCCUACCCAUUGCUAAUUUUCCUUUCACUUGCUUGGAAUGGUAACCCCAGAUAUCUCCAAGAGGUUUCAGUCCCUACCCGCUUUGGCAUAUUUCUGCAGGCAUAAACUCUACUUUCAUAGCCCCUUACCUGGGACGGAAAGAAGGGCCAGGUGGGGGCGGUAGGACA